rnacentral:rRNA from 1 species
CCGCCCGGAGGUAAGAGAGCAAGAGAGGAGGGAACAGCUCCAAUUUGAAAUCUGGCUCUUUCAGAGUCCGAGUUGUAAUUUGCAGAGGGCGCUUUGGCUUUGGCAGCGGUCCAAGUUCCUUGGAACAGGACGUCACAGAGGGUGAGAAUCCCGUACGUGGUCGCUAGCUAUUGCCGUGUAAAGCCCCUUCGACGAGUCGAGUUGUUUGGGAAUGCAGCUCUAAAUGGGAGGUAAAUUUCUUCUAAAGCUAAAUAUUGGCCAGAGACCGAUAGCGCACAAGUAGAGUGAUCGAAAGAUGAAAAGCACUUUGGAAAGAGAGUCAAACAGCACGUGAAAUUGUUGAAAGGGAAGCGCUUGCAGCCAGACUUGCUUGCAGUUGCUCAUCCGGCCUUUUCCCCGGUGCACUCUUCUGCAGGCAGGCCAGCAUCAGUUUGGGCGGUGGGAUAAAGGUCUCUGUCAUGUACCUCUCUUCGGGGAGGCCUUAUAGGGGAGGCGACAUACCACCAGCCUAGACUGAGGUCCGCGCAUCUGCUAGGAUGCUGGCGUAAUGGCUGUAAGCGGCCCGUCUUGAAACACGGACCAAGGAGUCUAACAUCUAUGCGAGUGUUUGGGUGUCAAGCCCGAGCGCGUAAUGAAAGUGAACGGAGGUGGGAACCCGCAAGGGUGCACCAUCGACCGAGCCUGAAGGUUUACGGGAAGGAUUUGGGGGAGAGCAGGUGUGUUGGGACCCGAGAGAUGGUGAACUGUGCUGGAAUAAGGGGAAGCCAGAGGAAACUCUUAUUGGGAGGCUCCGCACCCCGGGCUUGACGUGACGAGAUCCGAUCGGCGAAAUUUGGAACAUAUGGGGCGGAGAGGACUAA